rnacentral:lncRNA from 1 species
AAAUCCAUAAAACAAGACUCCAAAUUGUUAAGUUCCUCAGAAAUAAGAAAUCGAAAUCUUGUCAUAGCAAAGAGGAACCUAAGACGGCAUAACAUGGAUUGACUAAUUGCAGUGUAGUAUCCUGAAAGGGAUAUGGGACAGCAAAAGGACAUUAGAUUUAAAAAAAAAAAAAAAGGAAAUCUGAUAAAGUCCAAACUUUAGUUAAUAAUACUGUUUCAGUGUUUGUUCACUAAGUUGAAUAAAUGUUCCACUAAUAUACAAUGUUAAUAAGGGGAAUUGUUUGUGCAAUAUGCAUAUACUUUUCACAAUUACUCUGUACCUCUAAAACUUCCAAAAUAAUUUUAAAAACACACAAAAUACUAGGUAAUGAAAUCCGGAAGAUAAUAAAAUCAAACACUGAAUGGGGGUGGCCAUGAGGAAUGAUUUGGAGGGAAUACUUGCUUCCUAACAUGUACACUACAGGAACUGAACAGAGACCAUGAGGAAGCAUGGAAAGUCAACUUGGGAAGGCUCUUUAACGAGUGUUGAAGAAGCAUUCCCUUUUCCUAACCAGAGCACCUAGACUCCUCUGAACCCUUCCCAUCACCCAUAAAUUUUCAAAGUGGUGCUUUGUGAUGUCAAGCGAUUUCAGGGCUACCAUUGGCUGGAGAACUUUCUUGCUGACCAAUCAAAGUUGAUGAUUGCAGCUCUUCAUUGUUCUGGGAAUGUAUAUAGAGAGGCCAGAAGCCUUGGUGUAGGCCACUGUUGCUACAACAUGGCAGGAGUAACUGAGGGAGUGAAGGAGGAGGAGUUAGAGAUUGAAAUAGACAGUGUAAAUUUGGAGCAACAAGAAUCAAGCGCUGAUGGAAGGAAGAGAAAGAAGUCUGAUCAAUUCAACACAUUGAACAGUGAGAUACGAGAGAACAUUAGGAAGUUAAAAUUAGCCCUUCAGAAGAAUUGGGAAAGGAAUAAUAAAUGGAAGACAUCAACGAUGCUAGUCUUCCACCACCAGCAGCAGAAGAAAAAGAAGAAUGAAAAUCAGCCAAUGGUGGAUGAACAAAUUUCGGAGGAUUCGUCCAACAGUUCUCCCAACAGUUCUCUAAGUACCCCCAUGUGUCCACCUGGAGCCCAAGAUCUUGAGCAAUCUGCUGUCCAUGCAGGAAAAGAGCUGGUGGAAUAGUCGUUUGUGAAAGGAUCAAGCAUACAGCAUGGUCACCUCUGUAGAGACCAGAUACUCAGAUGUUGAUGAUUAAAAUAUCAAAAAGCUAUAAAAAGAUAUGUGUAUCUGUUUUUUGAUGAUGGGGAAGGGGGGAAGGGAAGUGUCACGGAGGUGAAGAGGGAGGGAGGUGGAAUCCUUUCAGUUUGGGGCCCAGACCAGCCAGUCCAUAGUUACCCAGACACUGGGAAUGAGGGCAGGAUGAAGACUGAGCACUGAAGACUGAAGAUUUCUGAGCACGGAAGACUUCUUCCUGAACACUUUAUACCACUGGUGAGGAGGAAAAAGACUUGGUAUUUGUGUGACUGGGAGAUCCCAGUUGGGGAGAGGGGUGAUGUAGAUGUGGUGGCCAUGUGUAAUAAUCAAAUUCCAUUUUUUAUGUUUGACAAUUGAAUUUUUAAACCUCAUAGAUUUCUGUUCCUCUUCUGGCCUACAUUUGGGCAAGCUGAUAAAAACAGCCAGGGAGUAAAGGAACAUACAAUAAAAACAGACAUACCUAACCUUAACCACUGGAAUUAUUGCCUUGCCUACAUUUCCCAUAGCCAAAAUAUCCAUUAAUCCAAAAUAUCCUCUAGUGCAUAUGGAUAAUCUUGCCCAAGAGUUAAUAACAUUAAGUCUUUGCCCCCUAUAAUCACCUUUAAAAGAAUCGCCAGUCCAGGUUAGAUGCAUGCUACUAGAUGCUUGGGGCUGGUGCACUGGGACGACCCAGAGGGAUAGUAUGGGGAGGGAGGAGGGAGGGGGGUUUAGGAUGGGGAACACGUGUAUACCUGUGGUGGAUUAGUGUUGAUGUAUGACAA